UCACGGCGGGAAGCUCACGGCGGGAAGCAGAUAAUCGAUACCUGGACGAACGUGAGGCUUCAAUUCGAAACAAUUAGGUGGAUACUCGCGGUCGGGACAAUUGCGGUACGUGUGUGAUUUUGCUGUGGACACUCGCGGAGCCAAAGGAUUAGAGGAAACAUUAAUCCUCUCUACUCGGAAAUUUCACAGGGCGGUUUUCCGUAUGCUCUUAUGGAUUUCCACGAAUAAGCAGAUUUAAUCUUCGAUCUACCAUUUGUUCUGCAAAACAUCGCUCGGGGUAGUUUACGUCUCUGAAUACCAUGGUUUUUUUCUCUAUGACUUGUACGAGGAAGUCAAGACUGCUCGUCUACGCGAAAGAACUUCAGAGAAUGAACAUUUUGAAGUGGAGGAAGGUCCAUUGUAUGGAGCAGGAAUCGCCGAUUGAAAAUAUCUAAGUAUACUAUACCAUUAUAUGA
rnacentral:misc_RNA from 1 species